UUUCCCUCAGGAUAGCUGGUGCUCUUGCACGGUAAAACCCAUGCAGUUUUAUCUGAUAAAGCAAAUGAUAUAGAGGGCUUGGGGCCGAAACAAUCACAGCCUGUUCUCAAACUUUAAAAGGGUAAGAAGCCCAGCUGGCUGGCGUAGUAUGUGAGGGUCUA
rnacentral:ncRNA from 1 species